GUGGGCUGGGCCUGUAGUGGGAGUUCUGGUGAGUGGGAGAAAGAGCGGGGGAGGUGGACUGAUAGCCCUGUCUGGUGGGAGAACCUACGGAACUGCUGGAGCGGAAGUCGAAGACCUGAUGCGAGCCGAGCGGUACUCCUCCUCGAAUAUAUCCUGGACGGAGUAGAGAUCUUCGUGCUGCGGUUCGGGCUCCGUCUCCUCCGGCAGCGGCGGCUGCUGGGGCGGCGGCUGCCCCUGGCGGCACUCCUCCUCCACCCGCAGCAGGAGUCUCUGGAUCUCACGGUUGUUUGGACAGAGCUUGAUGGCCUCGUUCAGAUCCUCUAAGGCUGCUGCAAACUGUCUGCUCGACAAAAUGUAAACACAGGAACUGGAGUUAUUCUGAACCAACAGGAACCACCAAGAGCCGAGAACGCGGUCACUGCCGCAGAGAACUGAGGGGGGUUAAAAAGUGAUUGAGAGGUGGCAGAGGCUUCUUGGAAGAAGGUACCAUUCUCCAGCAAUACGACGGCAUUUUCCUCCCAAAGUAAAAUGCUCUAGAUCUCUGGAGCCCUGAAGAUUUGCCAGUCUCAAGUGGAGUUCUGUGCUAUGGAAGCCAUCACCAAAGCAUGUCCCUAAACGUCCUCAGGGAGAGACACAUUUUGCCUCCGAGACAGGAUUCUUGGCCUGGGAGCAUCUGCAUGUCUGCGAAUCAUGGGAGCAGUGGCUGAAGGCAUCACACGCCGUUUCUGCUUGGCAGGGAGCCUGAUCGGUCUCAUCUUCUCUUUAGCAUCUUUCCUCACGGAGAGAUCUGGAGUCUACCAAGAAUCCAUCACUAGUUCCUUGAAUCCAAGGAAUUGCCCAUGCAGCUCUGGCACUCCAAGACUGACCUUGUGCAAGCAGAAAGUCCACAGUUCCUAGAUGGCCUUCGGAGGCAGCCAUCAUCAGCGGAGUACGACCCUGCUUGUCUGCCAUGUUGACAUCAGCUCCAUGGAAGUUCCUGUCUAGAACUCACCCCUCCCUGAGGGGCUGGAAGUAGCUAGCCUGCUUACCUGCCAGUGGCCCUGGCGAACAGUGCUGAACAGAGGCACUGCCCCUCGGCGGUUUGGCUGGGCCACUGCUGCCCCCUGUUCCAAGAGGAGACGGCACACCUCCAGUUUGCCCCUCCCGGCGGCAGCUGUCAGUGCUAAGAGCAGAAAACACAGACUGAGAACAGGCGGGUCUUGCGCUCCCCCGCCCUCUGUAGGCAGAUGAAGAGAGAAAGAGAGAGAAGUGCAGAGGAAGAGGGAGAGAACCCCAAGCGGGCUCCAUGCUCAGCGCACAGCUGACACGGGGCUCAAUCUCACAACCCUGAGAUCAUGACCUGAGCUGAAAUCAAAAGUCCAAUGUCUAACUGAUUCAACCACCCAGGUGCCCCCAUAAAGUUUUAUUCUAAUAAGAAAUUCAUAUCAAUAAGAAUAAGUCUUCCACUUAGUUCACUCCCUUCUUGAACAUUUUUAAGAAAUUCGUUCAAGUACAGCACUAGAAUGUGUUUGAUAUUCAUCACUAUGAUUGUUAACCUUAUAAUUCCCAUCUAUUAUCCUUAUCAGGCUGUAGUUUUUUUCCUACCCUCCCCUGGGCUUCCCCCGGGGCUCCACGUGUACGGCUGACAUCAGGAGCCAGUUGGGAGGUUCAGCAACACUGUGCUGGGCAAGGCUGUGCUGAUGGGAACAGUAAAGCACCAUGUCCCUUCGGCAGCUCUCAGUCACAGUAUACAUGCUCCAGGACGGCCGGCGCCCGGGUCAAUCCCUUCCCCUCAGGCCAUCCUCUGGCUUCCUGCGGGUUAGAGUCCCAGAGACGGCAGCUGUUUCCAGCUGCACAUUUUCCUUUAAUCUGUCAUGGGCUCUUAAGCUGCAGCUGCCUGGCAUCUGUUCUCUUUUGGCUCUUGCAGAGGGAGGGAUUGUUGGGGAAGCAAAUUCCCGAGCUUUGGACCAUUCUACAUGAUGUUAAAGAAGCCAUGAAACCUACCUAUGAUAUUUGCCAUGAAUGGAGACAUCACAAUUUGAUAGGUCGUGAUAAAUUUUAAAUGAAUUCAAGUGCCUCCUUUAUCUUUAAUAACACUCUAACUAAAACACACACUCUCUUUGUUUAAGAAAAUAUUCCCCCUACAUUGGCCAUCUCAGUAUUGGUCUUCUUCUCCUGGCAAAUCUGACACAUAUCUGUGGUGCCUCCACAUCUUUCAGUGUCCUGGUUUCAUAACAACUCAUAAAAGGUUAUUAAUGUUUCUCCAGAUGUUCCAGUUUAGACCUGGGGGAAAGACAACAACCAUUUCCUGCAAAGGCCACAAGGAAGAAGCUUCUGUUUGUGUAGUAAGUACCAAGCAAUACAGACAUCUCUUGGCCAGAGAUCAAGAGGGACUGCAUGGGACUGUGCCUUAGAGGCCGGUACCUCCAUUUUGCAUUCAGAGAGCAACUUUACUCCGAAUGUAUAGUUUAGCCAUGUCAGAUACCACUCUGUCAUGGUAACACCUGGUUAAGCCAGAGGUGUGGAUACAAAUUUAACCUCCUGGAUUACAACUGCAGGUGGAGUUCUUUUGAUGGGAGAAAAAUUUAUCCUAACUGCUACAAGAAUCCCAUAAAAGAAGAGAGAGGCCACAACUAUUUUCUGCUCUGGUUUGGCACAUGGUAAGGAAACUUUCAGUCUUCUAAAAAUAUUUGGAAACAAGAGCAGACUAAAGUUUUGGUUGAAAGACGACACUGGUGCUAAUGAUUUGGAGAGUCCAAUGGGAAAGAGGACUGGAAGAAGGACACUGCUUGACUUUUUACUUUGGCUGAAUCAAUCUCCAGUACAAAAGCCAUAUAGCGGAGAAUGCCAAAGGUUUGCAGAGGAAAAAUCAGGGUGUGAGAUGCCGAAUAUCUUCACACAAACACAACACAUUACUGAGAAAAGGGGGUAAUGUCCAUGAGAAGUACCUGUCUCUCCCCAGAGACUGUCAAAACUGUUGAUCUGUGCUCGCUCUACUUCUUCUUCAUCUUUUUCUGGAAGAUCAAGUAGGUAGGAGACAAUCUGAAAUGAGAAGUUGUGUCAGUUCAAACUUCAGGUGGGAAACCAUGCUACAGGCUCUAGCCUGUGAGGUCUGAAAGAUGCCUGGAUGACCCAAGCAUGAUGCAAGCUCUCGCGUAUAGAAGAAACCAGAACCGACUAUCCCAGCAAAGAAACCCAAAGCAGCCACAAUGGACAUUUCUUUAAUCAGUGUAAUGAUAUUCCAAGGAGACAGGAUGUUUGGGAAGUGCUGAGUAUCCUACUAUCAUGCCCCGGGAGAGCUUGCUUUCCCUCCUCCAUCACGGGAGAACAUAGCAAGAAGGUGUGACUAUGCACCAGGAGGCUCUCACCAGAUGCCCAAUCUUCUGGCACCAUACUCUUGAGAUGUAGCCUCAAAACUGUGGGAGGACAAUGUCUACAUUAAGUGCUGAAUAAACAAAUGAACGCCCGUACAGGCGCAGACAGAUGAAUUACGUGCAGUCUCCUCUGCCCUUGUGUGUCCGCUCCAGCCUUGCGAGUACCGAGAGAGGGACACUGAUGCCCUAGAGUUCUUAGAAGUUUUGAAACUACUGGGAGAAAAACCGGGAUUACAAUUGGAAUGGAGAAUGGGGGAAGCAGCUCAAAGAGAGGUUAGUGUUGGUUCCAGAUAGUUGGAAAAUCAUAGUACCAGGAAUAUUAAAAUCUUCAUAACACAAUUAUAAGAAAAUUGAAAGAGUAACUGCUCUCAGUGAUUCUUUUUAGACAUUGUGAACAUCUGCGACGACUUGCUAGAGCAUGACUGUCUUCAGGAGAUGGUAGGUCAUAUACGGAGUACACAUACGUAUGUGUAUACGCUUCUUACCUAAAUGAUUAUACAUGCACAUUUCCUGAAAAGCCUAGCAAUCUGCUAAACUGGGAGAUGACAAAUGUGGUUCCCUUUCCAAAGACCUAGAGAGGAACAGGCUACAAAUUUGAGGAGGUGGAUCAACUCUAUAACAAAAAGCAGGGACUACAUUGAAAUGAGUAGCUUCAUCCACAGUGUUAAGGAAAGCCUGCUGGAGAUUGAAAGAAAAAAGCCUUCAACUUCUCUAAUUACCUUAAAAAUGUGUGCUUUGAGGAUGUGAUGUCCCAGUUCAAUAGUCUGCUGUCGGUUUAGUUUUCCCUCUUGGCGGGAAAACCAGAAAGCAAGUAAUGUGUGACCACUCCUGCAAAGAAAAAGAGACUCAUUUUAGAAUGUUAAUGGUCCCGUGUUCUGCAUUGGGUGGGGGACUGUUCAGGUCCAUCCAGACGUCCACCGAAACUCUGUCUCAUUCAACCAGUUUCUAAGAGAAGGGCACCUGCUGCUGGGCAAAUAAUGGGUACUGAAAGGUCUCUAACUUUUACCAGUCCUUUACCCAGAUCACAUGUGUGAAUAUCACAAAAUGUCAUUUCUAGUAGGCUUACACCAUCCCACACACAGAUGGCAUUAAAAGAUUCAUUUUUAUAUUCUGUCUCUGUGAACUCUCCACUUAUUCUACCCAUACUUUAAAUGUCAGUGCUCCUCAGGAUCUCCGUUUUGGUCCCCGUCUGUCCUCUCUCCAGUAGCUCAUCCAUCCCGAAAGCCUUCACCACCACCUGAGUCUUAUUCUUGAUCUAGACUUCCGAGACUUCCACCAAUAUAUAUCCAAUGGUUUGUUGGAUUUCUCUGCCUGGAGGUCUCGCAGUACCUCAAGCUCAACAGGUCCCCAGAUGGAUUUACCACCUCUUCCCCAAGGGAAGUUUGCUUUGAUCCCCUCUACCUUCCCUGCAGCUGAGAAACAGGGAGUAUUUUCUUUUUGGUACAAGCAUUACAGAUUGUUAUCUCUCGUAUGGUAUACAGCCGCGAUUUCAUGCCUCUCCUCUGUGCGACUGCAGGUUUCCAGAUGGCAUCCACUCCAUCUCCUUGAUAAUGGACCCUUAAUCUCUUAAGAGAAAACUCUCUUUUCUGCCUCCCCAUGUUGUC